GGUUGUGGCUCAGUGGUAGAGCACUUGCCUAGCAUGUGUAAGGCACUGGGUUCGAUUCUCAGCACCA
rnacentral:tRNA from 1 species